GAAGAAGAUUAUACAGGCUGCUGUGAAGUGUGUUCACAAGAGUUCUAACAGUUUGAACAUUGCGUGAAUCAGAGAUUCUGUUACCAUUGCCAAGCAUUGUACGGCUGAGAGACUGCAACGUCUGAAGCAAAAAAAUCAUAAUUUGUGUUCUACUGAAAAAACAAAGUCACCGUCAUCUUGGAUGCCCUGGGGUUACGUCCUGUGUCUAGGUCUGUAGGGGUAGCUAUAUGGAGAAUAACAGACAGACUAAAGGAUCAGAGGUCAAAGGUCAACCUGACGACACUGAAGCCAGUCAGAAGGGAGUUGUUUUCUAUGUCCAUCUCACACAUAACAGAUGCCUCUUAUUAAGCACAAAAUCUUAUUCUAAACAAAAGUCCCAUUAAUACAGCACAGCUUAGUGUGAGUCAUUUUUUGUGACAUGUCUGGUAUCAAGUCUGUACUGAUAACACUAUAUUCAUACCACUUAUCAUUCAUACUGUAUCAGAUGACAUCCAUCAAGUUCCAAAUAAAAAGGAAAUAAAAUAUCCAAAAAAC
ensembl:lncRNA